UUAACCCCACACUCUUGUAGCUCAACCCCAAAGC
rnacentral:tRNA from 1 species